CACAACACUGACCUGCAGGCUGUUUAGUUCAGUGCUGCCCCCGCUGGACACAACACUGACCUGCAGGCUGUGUCUCUGGCUCACAGCAGCAGGUGGACGAGGUUCAGAUUUGAAUCUCUUCCAGGUUUGGUUUG